rnacentral:lncRNA from 1 species
CUGGGAUUUAACUUGGUUAGCAGAACAAUUUAGAUAGCUUAGGGACCUAAAUUUGGAGCCAAGAUGUUAUGGAUAAGGAUACAAAAUAAAUAGUGGUCUAUGGUAUCUGCAGGCUUCACGAUAGGAGAAUUAAGAGCUAGGAGGAAAACGACAGGACAAUUUGUAUGGCUGGAGACUGUAAAUUAGCAACUUUUAUGAAGGGCAUUUUAUGAAGAAUGGAGUGGAUCAAGGAUAGCACUGGAGACUAAGUAAAGAGGUCAGAAGAGUCUGCAUUCGUGGGAGAUGAGGUGGGAAAACUGGAAAGAUUGAAUGUCCUUUGGAGUUCACAGAGGUUUGGCAGUGGGAGGAGAAAAACAAAACGAAGCAUAGUGGGAGUGUUGAACAGACUUUCCCAAGAUCCCCAGGGAAAUCAACAAAGAGUAUUGCUUCCUUGCAAAUUGGCAGGAAGGUUUCCAGCAUAAUAAAAGAGUGCAGAAAAAACAAGUUAAUUCAAGGAUAAAACUGUGAAUAAGUAGAAGAGAAGACUACACCAGGAAAAGAGACGGAGGUAGAGGCCCAAUGGAGUAAGUAAUUUUAGAAGAAAUUUAAUAUUGGAAGAAUAGAUGUUUUCCAGAAC